GACGAACGCUGGCGGCGUGCUUAACACAUGCAAGUCGAACGGAAAGGCCCUGCUUUUGUGGGGUGCUCGAGUGGCGAACGGGUGAGUAACACGUGAGUAACCUGCCCUUGACUUUGGGAUAACUUCAGGAAACUGGGGCUAAUACCGGAUAGGAGCUCCUGCUGCAUGGUGGGGGUUGGAAAGUUUCGGCGGUUGGGGAUGGACUCGCGGCUUAUCAGCUUGUUGGUGGGGUAGUGGCUUACCAAGGCUUUGACGGGUAGCCGGCCUGAGAGGGUGGCCGGCCACAUGGGGACUGAGAGACGGCCCAGAAUCCUACGGGAGGCAGCAGUGGGGAAUAUUGCACAAUGGGCGGAAGCCUGAUGCAGCAACGCCGCGUGCGGGAUGACGGCCUUCGGGUUGUAAACCGCUUUCGCCUGUGACGAAGCGUGAGUGACGGUAAUGGGUGAAGAAGCACCGGCUAACUACGUG
rnacentral:rRNA from 1 species